AAAAACUGAAUAAUCUCUUCUUUGAAAGACAAAAAAGGCCAGGGUGCUCAGGAAGUUCAGUCAGAUGUUUGAAGGUGCUCUUUGGGGUUGGGAAUUCAAUAUAGU